rnacentral:rRNA from 1 species
AUUGAACGCUGGCGGAAUGCUUUACACAUGCAAGUCGAACGGCAGCACGGGUGCUUGCACCUGGUGGCGAGUGGCGAACGGGUGAGUAAUACAUCGGAACGUACCCAGCUGUGGGGGAUAACUAACCGAAAGGUUAGCUAAUACCGCAUACGACCUGAGGGUGAAAGCGGGGGACCGUAAGGCCUCGCGCAAUUGGAGCGGCCGAUGUCUGAUUAGCUAGUUGGUGAGGUAAAGGCUCACCAAGGCGACGAUCAGUAGCAGGUCUGAGAGGAUGAUCUGCCACACUGGAACUGAGACACGGUCCAGACUCCUACGGGAGGCAGCAGUGGGGAAUUUUGGACAAUGGGCGAAAGCCUGAUCCAGCCAUUCCGCGUGAGUGAAGAAGGCCUUCGGGUUGUAAAGCUCUUUCGGCAGGGAAGAAACGCUCUGGAAUAAUACUCCGGGGUAAUGACGGUACCUGAAGAAGAAGCACCGGCUAACUACGUGCCAGCCGCCGCAGUAAAAC